AGUGAACGCUGGCGGUAGGCCUAACACAUGCAAGUCGAACGGCAGCACAGUAAGAGCUUGCUCUUACGGGUGGCGAGUGGCGGACGGGUGAGGAAUACAUCGGAAUCUACUUUUUCGUGGGGGAUAACGUAGGGAAACUUACGCUAAUACCGCAUACGACCUACGGGUGAAAGCGGGGGAUCUUCGGACCUUGCGCGAUUGAAUGAGCCGAUGUCGGAUUAGCUAGUUGGCGGGGUAAAGGCCCACCAAGGCGACGAUCCGUAGCUGGUCUGAGAGGAUGAUCAGCCACACUGGAACUGAGACACGGUCCAGACUCCUACGGGAGGCAGCAGUGGGGAAUAUUGGACAAUGGGCGCAAGCCUGAUCCAGCCAUACCGCGUGGGUGAAGAAGGCCUUCGGGUUGUAAAGCCCUUUUGUUGGGAAAGAAAAGCAGCAGGUUAAUACCCCGCUGUUCUGACGGUACCCAAAGAAUAGGCACCGGCUAACUUCGUG
rnacentral:rRNA from 1 species